GAUGAAGAACGCAGCGAAAUGCGAUAAGUAAUGUGAAUUGCAGAAUUCAGUGAAUCAUCGAAUCUUUGAACGCACAUUGCGCCCUCUGGUAUUCCAGAGGGCAUGCCUGUUCGAGCGUCAUUUCAACCCUCAAGCCCAGCUUGGUGUUGGGGCAUUGCCUUUUCCCUCCGGGGAGAGGGCAAGCCCUGAAAUUCAGUGGCGAGCUCGCCAGGACUCCGAGCGUAGUAGUAAAACCCUCGCUUUGGACUGUUCUGGCGCGGCCCUGCCGUAAAACCCCCCCAACUUCUGAAAAUUUGACCUCGGAUCAGGUAGGAAUACCCGCUGAACUUAAGCAUAUCAAUAAGCGGAGGA
rnacentral:misc_RNA from 1 species